rnacentral:miRNA from 10 species
UUUGGGAGGCUGAGGCUGGAGGAUCACUUGAGGCCAGGAGUUUGAGACCAGCCUGGGCAACAUAGUGAGACCUCCUAUCUACAAAAA